rnacentral:pre_miRNA from 1 species
AAAGUACUCACUCCGUCCCGAAAUACUUGUCCUGGAAAUGGAUAAAAUGGUUGUAUCUAUAACUAAAAUAAGUCUAGAUACAACUAUUUUUAGGACAAGUAUUUCCGGACGGAGGGAGUAGUUG